CACGUAGGGCGCGAGCGUUGUCCGGAAUUAUUGGGCGUAAAGAGCUCGUAGGCGGCCUGUUGCGUCCGCUGUGAAAGCCCGGGGCUUAACCCCGGGUCGGCAGUGGAUACGGGCAGGCUAGAGGUAGGUAGGGGAGAAUGGAAUUCCCGGUGUAGCGGUGAAAUGCGCAGAUAUCGGGAGGAACACCGGUGGCGAAGGCGGGUCUCUGGGCCGCAACUGACGCUGAGGAGCGAAAGCAUGGGGAGCGAACAGG
rnacentral:rRNA from 1 species